GGAUGUUCAUAACCCUUUGUUGUCCGACUCUGUUGCCUCCGGGGCGACCCUGCCUUCGGGCGGGGGCUCCGGGUGGACACUUCAAACUCUUGCGUAACUUUGCAGUCUGAGUAAACUUAAUUAAUAAAUUAAAACUUUUAACAACGGAUCUCUUGGUUCUGGCAUCGAUGAAGAACGCAGCGAAAUGCGAUAAGUAAUGUGAAUUGCAGAAUUCAGUGAAUCAUCGAAUCUUUGAACGCACAUUGCGCCCCCUGGUAUUCCGGGGGGCAUGCCUGUUCGAGCGUCAUUUCACCACUCAAGCCUCGCUUGGUAUUGGGCAACGCGGUCCGCCGCGUGCCUCAAAUCGACCGGCUGGGUCUUCUGUCCCCUAAGCGUUGUGGAAACUAUUCGCUAAAGGGUGUUCGGGAGGCUACGCCGUAAAACAACCCCAUUUCUAAGGUUGACCUCGGAUCAGGUAGGGAUACCCGCUGAACUUAAGCAUAUCAUA
rnacentral:rRNA from 1 species